AGUACCAACACUCCUACUUGGAUAAAAGAGGUAGUCAAGAGCUACAAGUCUGACACAAGGGUGCAGGAACUCAUAGCUGAAUGUGCUGUCAGUAAAGACAGUCCAAGCUCUUACUCCUACAAAAAUGGCAUAUUGAGAUUCCAUAACAAAGUUGUGGUUGGCACAUCAACUUCCCUCAGAACAGACAUUUUAAAAACCUUUCAUGCUUCGGAAUUAGGAGCCCAUUCUGGUGAAAGAGCCACCUACCAACGGGUCAAACUUGUCUUUCAUUGGCAAGGCCUCAAACAAGAUGUAAUUACCUUUGUCAAGGAAUGCCCAGUCUGUCAGCUCAACAAAGCAGAGCACUCCCCUUACCCUGGUCUCCUAAAACCCCUGCCUGUUCCUGAUUUCGCAUGGGCACACAUCAGCAUG
rnacentral:rRNA from 1 species